AUGAAUUCCGUGGGGAAAAAGAUCCUCGACACGGGAAACCACGAAUCCCCCAGGGAAGAAGCUCCUCGCCUCAUGAACUAUGAACUUCACAUGGGGUUCAUCAUGAAGUUCAUCACAAAACUCAAGAAAAUUGUAAAGUUCAUCGCGAAACUCAUGAUCUUCAUGAUGAAAUCCAUGAACAUUGUUGAUGCAAGCCCAAACACAAAUCUUAUUUAUCGCCCUAAACGGAGGCGCUGGAAUGCCCACUAG